rnacentral:hammerhead_ribozyme from 1 species
AUCCAGUUUACGAGUCCCAAAUAGGACGAAAUGCGCAUCCUAGAU